rnacentral:rRNA from 1 species
UACGUAGGUCCCGAGCGUUGUCCGGAUUUAUUGGGUUUAAAGGGUGCGUAGGCGGGCUUUUAAGUCAGCGGUAAAAAUUCGGGGCUCAACCCCGUCCGGCCGUUGAAACUGGGGGCCUUGAGUGGGCGAGAAGAAGGCGGAAUGCGUGGUGUAGCGGUGAAAUGCAUAGAUAUCACGCAGAACCCCGAUUGCGAAGGCAGCCUUCCGGCGCCCUACUGACGCUGAGGCACGAAAGUGCGGGGAUCGAACAGG